GUCGAACGGUAACAGGAAGCAGCUUGCUGCUUCGCUGACGAGUGGCGGACGGGUGAGUAAUGUCUGGGAAACUGCCUGAUGGAGGGGGAUAACUACUGGAAACGGUAGCUAAUACCGCAUAACGUCGCAAGACCAAAGAGGGGGACCUUCGGGCCUCUUGCCAUCGGAUGUGCCCAGAUGGGAUUAGCUAGUAGGUGGGGUAACGGCUCACCUAGGCGACGAUCCCUAGCUGGUCUGAGAGGAUGACCAGCCACACUGGAACUGAGACACGGUCCAGACUCCUACGGGAGGCAGCAGUGGGGAAUAUUGCACAAUGGGCGCAAGCCUGAUGCAGCCAUGCCGCGUGUAUGAAGAAGGCCUUCGGGUUGUAAAGUACUUUCAGCGGGGAGGAAGGCGAUAAGGUUAAUAACCUUGUCGAUUGACGUUACCCGCAGAAGAAGCACCGGCUAACUCCGUGCCAGCAGCCGCGGUAAUACGGAGGGUGCAAGCGUUAAUCGGAAUUACUGGGCGUAAAGCGCACGCAGGCGGUCUGUCAAGUCGGAUGUGAAAUCCCCGGGCUCAACCUGGGAACUGCAUUCGAAACUGGCAGGCUAGAGUCUUGUAGAGGGGGGUAGAAUUCCAGGUGUAGCGGUGAAAUGCGUAGAGAUCUGGAGGAAUACCGGUGGCGA
rnacentral:rRNA from 1 species